CCUACGGGGGGCAGCAGUGAGGAAUAUUGGUCAAUGGACGAGAGUCUGAACCAGCCAAGUAGCGUGAAGGAUGACUGCCCUAUGGGUUGUAAACUUCUUUUAUAUGGGAAUAAAAUGUUCCACGUGUGGGAUUUUGUAUGUACCAUAUGAAUAAGGAUCGGCUAACUCCGUGCCAGCAGCCGCGGUAAUACGGAGGAUCCGAGCGUUAUCCGGAUUUAUUGGGUUUAAAGGGAGCGUAGGUGGAUUGUUAAGUCAGUUGUGAAAGUUUGCGGCUCAACCGUAAAAUUGCAGUUGAAACUGGCAGUCUUGAGUACAGUAGAGGUGGGCGGAAUUCGUGGUGUAGCGGUGAAAUGCUUAGAUAUCACGAAGAACUCCGAUUGCGAAGGCAGUUCACUGGACUGCAACUGACACUGAGGCUCGAAAGUGUGGGUAUCAAACAGGAUUAGACACCCGGGUAGUC
rnacentral:rRNA from 1 species